rnacentral:rRNA from 1 species
UGGGGAAUGGGCGGCAGGCUUACACAUGCAAGUCGAGCGCCCCGCAAGGGGAGCGGCAGACGGGUGAGUAACGCGUGGGAAUCUACCCUUUUCUACGGAAUAACGCAGGGAAACUUGUGCUAAUACCGUAUAAGCCCUUCGGGGGAAAGAUUUAUCGGGAAAGGAUGAGCCCGCGUUGGAUUAGCUAGUUGGUGGGGUAAAGGCCUACCAAGGCGACGAUCCAUAGCUGGUCUGAGAGGAUGAUCAGCCACAUUGGGACUGAGACACGGCCCAAACUCCUACGGGAGGCAGCAGUGGGGAAUAUUGGACAAUGGGCGCAAGCCUGAUCCAGCCAUGCCGCGUGAGUGAUGAAGGCCCUAGGGUUGUAAAGCUCUUUCACCGGUGAAGAUAAUGACGGUAACCGGAGAAGAAGCCCCGGCUAACUUCGUGCCAGCAGCCGCGGUAAUACGAAGGGGGCUAGCGUUGUUCGGAAUUACUGGGCGUAAAGCGCACGUAGGCGGACAUUUAAGUCAGGGGUGAAAUCCCAGAGCUCAACUCUGGAACUGCCUUUGAUACUGGGUGUCUAGAGUAUGGAAGAGGUGAGUGGAAUUCCGAGUGUAGAGGUGAAAUUCGUAGAUAUUCGGAGGAACACCAGUGGCGAAGGGCGGCUCACUGGUCCGUUACUGACGCUGAGGUGCGAAAGCGUGGGGAGCAAAACAGGAUUAGAUACCCUGGUAGUCCACGCCGA